rnacentral:rRNA from 1 species
AUGAAGUUGACGGACAAGGAAAACAAGAAGCUGGUAGUAGAUGAUCAGGAGGUGGAAGGAGAGGCACCUCCAGUGGCGCUGGUGGGUAGGGUUCUGCACUGUAAGUUCAUCCAUGUAAACUCUAUCGCAGAUGCCCUCCGACCGGCCUGGGGAAACCCGAGGGGAUUGAGUUUUAACCCGGUAGGGGAGAACACCUUUGUGGCAAACCUGGAGAAUCAGCGAGAUCGUGAUCGCAUCUAUGGAGGUGGGCCGUGGAUGGUGGGGAAACACGCAGUGAUCUUGGAACUGUUUGAUUUUAGGGCCCGGCCAUCCGACUGGAAGUUUGAGAAGUUGCAGAUUUGGGCGAGGGUAAUCAACCUGCCCUUUAAUCUCCGAUACCCGCCAUGGCCUGAGAGAAUUGCAGGGAUGUUGGGAGAGGUAAUCAAGCUGGAUGUGGACUCAAAGGGUUUUGCUUUUGGCGAGUCCCUUAGAACACGUAUAUGGAUAAGAGUGCAGGAACCCCUAAUGAGGUGGGUGCAGCUAGAAUCGGCGAGGACGAAGGAAUCUGUGUUGUAUGAUAUUCAGUAUGAAGGACUGCCGUAUUUUUGUUUCUCGUGUGGCCGGCUUGGACAUGCAGACGCCUUUUGCCCGGACCCAGGGGAACGGGAUGAUGAUGGAUGCCUGUCGUACGGAGAGAAGCUUAGAUGGGCUGGAUCUCGCAAGAACUGGGCGAAUGCACCCCCAAGGAGCAGUGAUGGGGGAAGGCAGGGAGCCAGGGGAGGAGGAAUGGGAUGUUGA